ACAUGCACCUUAAAACUUGUUACAUAUCUUGAUCUUGUAUAAAAGCCAGACUGGAAUUGUUCCUCAGCAUCAUAAGCAUUCCAACUCCUCUUUUAUAAACAACUAUUUGAAUUUCUUCAGAAAAUCAACGCCUUCAAGAUGAUGAAACUCGUCCUUGUCGUUCUCGCCCUCAUCGCCGUGGCGUCCGCCCAGCUUUUGUACACUUCCGGUGUGAGCGGCCCCAACUUUCACAACGCUUUCGCCUCCUCCGCCUCCACCGGAAUCCGACGAUACGGAUCCACCGCUGGAUUGGCCUACGCCGCCCCAGCCUACGCUGCUGUCCCAGCCUACUAUUAAAAUUUUGAAAGUGUUAUAUUUCCAAAUUUUUUGAACCAUCUUGUCAAUAAAGCAGUGAUCUGGUCUGAACCUUUACAAAA